UUGCCACAGUGUAGAUCUUCCUUAUAGUAAUUUAUUUCCAAGGGCUCCAUGUGGUUCUGCCAGUGAGAUCAAAGAAUGCUUGUGGACAACAGGGUUCUUAUCCUAUCAAGCUGUUCUACACUUCCAACAUGCCCAUCAUUUUGCAGUUUGCACUUGUGUCCAACCUUUACUUUAUCUCCCAGUUGUUUUACAGGAGGUACAACGAAAAUUUCCUUGUGAAUCUUUUGGGCAAAUGGAAGGAGUCUGAAUAAUCAGGAGGUCAAUUCGUUCCUGUCAGUGGUCAUGUGCGAGAGGACCGAAGGUGGGGAGCUGCACGGGAGGAAGAAUCAUGGGGGAACACAUGAGAGACAGCGCAAGAGAUUAAGAAAAGUAAAAGGAGAAAGCCAACAUUUUCUGAUUUAUGAGAAAGCAAAAGAAGAAAGCCAUCAUUUUCUGAUUUAUGAGAAAGCAAAAGGAAAAAGCCAUCAUUUUCUGAUUAAAGAGAAAGCAAAAUAGAAGCAUGUGGGGACACUGCAAAAGUAAGGAAUAAACACCCCACCAGAAUGGUGUGAUUUACUUUUCUUGUUUUUGUAUAAUGUAAUUUAUUUUUCGUAUCUUUCGGAGAUAUCGGUACAAACCUCAUCAGAGGGUAAUAAAAAAAAUAAAAAAUACUUGGGGGACUUAACUGGGCCUCAUGAAAAAUACUUGGGGGACUUAACCCAUUAUUUAUGUAUUAAGGAGCAAGCCCUUAUUCUAUAAAAGGGACUCCCUCACCACCAUCAGGGAGCAUCAACUCUAGCCCAUCAUUCAUAUAUUGAGAAACGAGUCCUUAUUUUAUAAAAGGGACACCCUCACCUUCAACGCCACAAGCCGAGCCAACCAAGGCAACAUAAGCCACGAGCCGAGCAGCCUCACAGCAUGUGCUACUUCUAGUUGAGAGUCAUUUCAGAUUGAGCACCGCCUCAUAUCGAACAUCAGUUCAAGACAACAUCUAGUUACUUCGGCCCACACAUGGACUGAAUUUCAAGUCUCCAACCAAAGGACUCUCUUGACUGAAGACUUGGGGGACUACUGUUUAUAUCAUAUUUAGGGCCUCGUAUUUAGAUCUCAUACAAAUACUUGGGGGAUUUAAAUGUAAUUAUAUGAUAAAGGAAGGGGCAAAUAUGUAAUAAGUGAUGAAUCCUUAUUCUAUAAAAUGACCCAUCACCCUUACAAUUAGGAGAUGCCAAUUCCUAAGGCUCCUCACCCCCUCUCAAAGCCUCACUCUCAGAGGCUCUCACACUCUCUCCCUCACCUUUCAGAUAAAUACAUAAUCAGUGUGGACGUAGCCCAAACCUUGGGGUGAACCACGAUACAUCUUGUGUUAUUUACAUUACUUGUAAAUUCACGGUCGGAAUUACAUUACUUGUUCCAAGACCUCCGGUUUUGUGCAUCAACAUUUGGUGAUGUCUGUGGGAAUCGACACGAAAAGCUAUGUUGGUUCUAUUUCAAUUUUUUAUCUCACCACCGUGAAACCUUCACAACCUCAUCACUAUCCACCAUAGAUUAGAAAAAACCACACAGAACACAAUCUCUCUCUUUGACAAAAUCUCAUAAACUCGUUCAGAGAUGAGACCACAAACCAACCACCCUCUUCUCAUUUUCACCUUGACCGUAUUUCCUGCUCCGCACGACAUGCAAUAUGCAGUAGCAGGGAUCGGUUUCCUGUUGUCAGUUCCGCCUUGCACGACGUGUCGCCUCGCAGGAUCUGAAAGCAAGUAUGAUGUCCAGCUGUCAGUACCAGAAAAUCUCUAUCAGUUCCGCGACUGAUUUUCGCUCUCGAGUGGCAGUUCUAUGUACUACCUUAACCUUGCAAAAUCUGGAAGCAAGUAUGUUGUCCAGGCUUUUGAGGAUUACGUGCUCAAGCAUACGAGAAGAAAACAUAUACCGUGACUUUUGUUGCUGGUUCUUCGCCAUCCGGUACAAGCAGCUUUGCUCGGUUGGUAUGAUCCGAUGGGCAACGCACAGUAGGCAGUGCAAUUGCAUUCACCUGGAUAUAAUUUUGAACAGCAGCAGGCAGUGGGAACAAAUUGAAAAGGAGAAAAAGAAAAGAGCAAAGCUGGUAUUGUCUCUCUCUUUCACGGAACUCCACCAGUCCGAAGGCUCAACCCUCAUUUCUCUAAUCCAGCUUCAUCGCAAACCAGAUGGAUAUUAGUGUUAUACAGGUAGCCGUUGCUUGAAUGUCUUUACCAGUGUAGUACAGCAACAUAUGGAAUUAGAUCUUCCUAACGUGACAAAUCUGUUUGCCACGGUGUAGAUCUUCUUUAUAGUAAUUUAUUUCCAAGGGUUCCAUGUGGUUCUACUAGUGAGAUCAAAGAAUGCUUGUGGACAACAGGGUUCUUAUCUUAUCAAGUUGUUCUACACUUCCAACAUGACCAUCAUUUUGCAGUUUGCACUUAUGUCCAACCUUUACUUUAUCUCCCAGUUGCUUUACAGGAGGUACAGCGGAAAUUUCCUUGUGAAUCUUUUGGGCAAAUGGAAGGAGUCUGAAUAUUCAGGAGGUCAAUUCUUUCCUGUCAAUGGUCAUGUGCAAGAGGACCGAAGGUGGGGAGCUGCACGGGAGGAAGAAUCAUGGGGGAGCACAUGGGAGACAACGCAAGAGA
rnacentral:lncRNA from 1 species